rnacentral:rRNA from 1 species
UACGUAGGGUGCAAGCGUUAAUCGGAAUUACUGGGCGUAAAGCGUGCGCAGGCGGUUGUGCAAGACAGAUGUGAAAUCCCCGGGCUUAACCUGGGAAUGGCAUUUGUGACUGCACAGCUAGAGUGUGUCAGAGGGGGGUAGAAUUCCACGUGUAGCAGUGAAAUGCGUAGAUAUGUGGAGGAAUACCGAUGGCGAAGGCAGCCCCCUGGGAUAACACUGACGCUCAUGCACGAAAGCGUGGGGAGCAAACAGG